GAUGACUUGAGCUUGUGUCAAGUUGAAAAAAAAAAAAAAAAGUCAGCACCGAGGUGGUUUCAUUACAUAAGCCUUCAGUCAGGCCCUCUGACUCCCAACCAGGAGACUCGGAGGGGGAGGAAAGCAGGAUGUAUGGUGACCAACAACUCUCUUUGAUGCAAAGUCACUUCCCCAGGAGAAAACUCCAAAUAACAUUAGGGGCCUUGGACUUCUCAUCCAUGUGGACGGCUACCCGAGAGCACGUACUUCUGAUCUGUUCUGUUGGCUUGACUUCUGAAGAGUUCACUUGCUGCGUUACACAUAAUGAAAACCCCGUGCUCAGAUCUUUUCGUAAGAGGCCAAUGUGGUGGCUUGAAUCAGAAUGGACCCCAUGUGCUCAUGUGCUCACAUGUUUGAAUACUUUGUCCACAGUUCGGGAAACUGUUUGGGAAGGAUUAGGAGGUCUGACUCUGUUGGAGUAGGUGAGUCACUGGAGUGAGCUUUGUCACAGUAACAGAAAGUAACUAAUACAACCAAGGACCUGGGGACACCUGGCCCAGACCCGAUCCUCUGGAAACACUUGCAGCCUGUGAGACCCCAAGAUUGUAUUCUGGCACUGUCGAUGACCCUAAAACUCCAUUCCAGCCUCACUCUGUAAAAAGACUGUGUGUGAAUUUUAAUAUUUUUAACAUGUAAUUUUUUUAACACAA